AUGAGCCGCCAGAGUCUCCCGUCUGUCAUGAGCCGCCAGAGUCUCCCGUCUGUCCAGAGCCGCCAGAGUCUCCCGUCUGUCCAGAGCCGCCAGAGUCUCCCGUCUGUCCAGAGCCGCCAGAGUCUCCCGUCUGUCCAGAGCCGCCAGAGUCUCCCGUCUGUCCAGAGCCGCCAGAGUCUCCCGUCUGUCCAGAGCCGCCAGAGUCUCCCGUCUGUCCAGAGCCGCCAGAGUCUCCCGUCUGUCCAGAGCCGCCAGAGUCUCCCGUCUGUCCAGAGCCGCCAGAGUCUCCCGUCUGUCCAGAGCCGCCAGAGUCUCCCGUCUGUCCAGAGCCGCCAGAGUCUCCCGUCUGUCCAGAGCCGCCAGAGUCUCCCGUCUGUCCAGAGCCGCCAGAGUCUCCCGUCUGUCCAGAGCCGCCAGAGUCUCCCGUCUGUCAUGAGCCGCCAGAGUCUCCCGUCUGUCAUGAGCCGCCAGAGUCGCCAGUCAGCAUGGAUCCGCCAGUCAGCCAGGAUCCGCCAGAGCCGCCGGUCAGCCAGGAUCCGCCAGAGCCGCCGGUCAGCCAGGAUCCGCCAGAGCCGCCGGUCAGCCAGGAUCCGCCAGGAUCCGCCAGAGCCGCCAGUCAGCCAGGAUCCGCCAGAGCCGCCAGUCAGCCAGGAUCCGCCAGAGCCGCCAGUCAGCCAGGAACCGUCAGAGCCGCCAUUCAGCCAGGAUCCGCCAGAGCCACCAUUCAGCCAGGAUCCGCCAGAGCCGUCAACCUGCCUGAGCUACCUCUUAGUCCUGAGCUACCCCUCAGUCCUGAGCUACCCCUCGGUCCUGAGCUUCCUCAGUAAUGAGGCACCCCUUAGUCCAGGUGGGUCCUUUGUUAGGGUUACUAGGCCAAGGUCGACGGCGAGGGUCGCCACUCAAAGGACGCUAAAAAAGCGGACUAAGACUAUGGUGGAGUGGGGUCCACGUCCCGCGCCGGUGCCGCCACAGUGGAAGGCCGGAUCACCGACAAUGAUGAGACAGCCUCAAUGUGAGCAAGACAAAGGAGUUGAUCAUGGACUACAGGAAAAUGCCGAGCAGCCCCCCAUUAAUCGAUGGGGUUGUAGUGGAGCGGUGUCUACAUCACCAACGAACUAUCAUGAUCCAAACACACCAAGACAGUCUCCCCUCAGGAGACUGAAAAGAUUUGGCAUGGGUCUCCAGAUCCUCAAAUGUCUUCAGCUGCACCAUUGA
rnacentral:lncRNA from 1 species